AUUGAACGCUGGCGGCAGGCCUAACACAUGCAAGUCGAACGAGUGUCGGACACGUGAGAAAUAUCUGGGGAACUGCCCGCGAGAGGGGGGGAACUACACGAAACGGAGACUAAUACCACAACCCCCCUGAUGUGUGCCGAUGGGAUGAGCUUGUGGGUGAGGUAACGACUCACCUAGGCGACGCGCCCUAGCUGGUGUGAGAGGAUUACCAGCCACACUGGAACUGAGACACGGUCCAGACUCCUACGGGAGGCAGCAGUGGGGAAGAUUGCACAAUGGGCGCAAGCCUGAUGCAGCCAUGCCGCGUGUAUGAAGAAGGCCUUCGGGUUGUAAAGUACUUUCAGCGGGGAGGCGUUACUCGCAGAAGAAGCACCGGCUAACUCCGUGCCAGCAGCCGCGGUAAUUC
rnacentral:rRNA from 1 species